UUCAACGGCCGCGGUAUUUUAACCGUGCGAAGGUAGCGUAAUCACUUGUCUUUUAAAUAAAGACUAGUAUGAAUGGCAUCACGAGAACUAAACUGUCUCCCUCCUCUAAUCAGUGAAACUGAUCUCCCCGUGCAGAAGCGGGGAUAAUAACAUAAGACGAGAAGACCCUGUGGAGCUUUAAAUCAAAAAUCAUCUGCUUGACCUACCCUGCUAUUAAGGAAAUAUCCACGCGGACCUGAUCCAGAUUUUCAGCUGGGGCGACUAUGGAGAAAAAACCAUCCUCCAUGAAGAAUCAUGCUAAGAAUGACCUGUCUAAGCAUUAAUAAACUUAACUUUAAUUGACCCAAAUUUUUUUGAUCAACGGACCAAGUUACCCCAGGGAUAACAGCGCAAUCCACUUUUAGAGUCCAUAUCGACAAGUGGGCUUACGACCUCGAUGUUGGAUCAGGGCACCCCAGUGGUGCAGCCACUACUAAAGGUUCGUUUGUUCAACGAUUAAAG
rnacentral:rRNA from 1 species